rnacentral:rRNA from 1 species
UACGUAGGCAGCAAGCGUUGUUCGGAGUUACUGGGCGUAAAGGGUGCGUAGGCGGCUCUAUAAGUAUGGUGUGAAAUCUCCCGGCUUAACUGGGAGGGUGCGCUAUAGACUGUGGGGCUAGAGUCCGGAAGAGGAGAGUGGAAUUCCCGGUGUAGCGGUGAAAUGCGCAGAUAUCGGGAAGAACACCCGUGGCUAAGGCGGCUCUCUAGUACGGUACUGACGCUGAGACGCGAAAGCGUGGGGAGCGAACAGG